AGUGGCUGGUUUUGGGGAGGGAUAAGGUUGGUGUGUGUGUUGAUUUGUGAGUUUUGUCAAAAGCAUGCAAGUGUAUGUGAAAGGAUAUGUUUAUGAAAUAAUUCAAUCACAAUUAUUUCAAUCAUCAUUUAUACAAAUAUCUAAUACUUUAAAUACAUGAUAAAUCAUUUAAAAAACAUAUCACAUAAACUUUAUGAAAUAAAUCAAAACUUUGAAUCAAAACACCAAACCUUUUUGUUCU
rnacentral:lncRNA from 1 species